GACAGAGGGUGCAAACGUUGCUCGGAAUCACUGGGCGUAAAGGGCGCGUAGGCGGCUUUAUAAGUCGGGGGUGAAAUCCUGGAGCUCAACUCCAGAACUGCCUUCGAUACUGGGAGACUUGAGUUCGGGAGAGGUGAGUGGAACUGCGAGUGUAGAGGUGAAAUUCGUAGAUAUUCGCAAGAACACCAGUGGCGAAGGCGGCUCACUGGCCCGAUACUGACGCUGAGGUGCGAAAGCGUGGGGAGCAAACAGG
rnacentral:rRNA from 1 species